GACACACGCCUGGAUCCCAUGCUGCCAGACUGCCCACGAGUGUCUGCAGCCUGGCAGGUUCACAGGCAGCAGCCAUUGUGGUGAGAGUCACAGCAGAGCAACAGAGGUGACGAGGUUGAGAGAAGGUUGAGGGAAGGCUGUCAGGGCAUCGUGGCCCAGCCCUUCAGUCAACUCACAUACAGCUCCCAGCAGUCACCUCUUCUGCUACCAUGACUGCUGUUGUCUGGGUUGCUAUGGUAAGAAUAUCUCUGUGUGUGUGUGUGUGUGUGUGUGUGUGUGUGUGUAGGUGGCUGACCAAGUGUCUCAGCAACACAGAACAGACCGGUGAAUCCUUGUUGUCAUGCACACACACACACACGCACAUAUGCAGACACAUUCAUCACAGUGUGAAACACCGCUCACUCUUGUGUGGAGCCAGACUGAGCCAGGCCCGGGGCGACUCAGCUGCUGUGGAGAAUGGCAUGUGAUCAGACACGCACACACACUAAGAUGUCUGAAGGCUAACAAAGUAUUGGAUGUGUGCUUACAUAUGGGCACUGGGACUGGUCAGGCAGCAUGAUAGGAGAAAUGGGUGAAGGAUGAGUUUUGCCGUUGGUCUUUUUCUGUCUUUAUGUCUGUUCUUCUCUCUCUCUCUCUCUCUCUCUCUCCUUACUCUUCUUCUGUUUUUGACUUCCUCUGUACAUCUCCCUUUCCCCUCCUCCGCUUGUGUUCUGCUUCCCUGUGUGGUGCAGUGAUGAUAUGAUGAUUGUGUUUUCCAUGCUGGUAGACUCUUGGCAGAAGGAGGUAGGGAGAAGUGGAGGCAGAGCUUGUCUGUUAUUCCUAAUCAUCUGUGAAGCAAUGCCGGUAUACCAGCAUGGCACUCUGACGGGGCGGGAAGGACCCAGAGAAGGAGGGAGAAUAACAUGUAGCGGGGGUGUCCACUAACAUCUCCAUUUCUUGUUUUAAAUGUUUUAAAUAAAACCUGGACCCAUUCCCUUCGCAUUUGACUGGCUAGCUUCCCUCCUUUUAAUUUUUUUUAUCCUCAUUUUUCUUCCUUUCACUGUAUUCUUUUUUUCCAUCUUGCAAAAGGAAUUUGUUCCCCCAAGAAGGUCAGUGCUCUGGCGUUUGGCAGUGUCCUGGCACACUAUCAGAAUUUUAUCAGUUAGGAGCACGCUGAACACAGGCUAAAUAUGCAGAUAAAGUGGAACCAAUCUCCUGCUGGAAAAGCUCCCUUUGUGCGUGUGUCUGUGUGUGUUUGUACAGCUAUCUUUGUGAGGACAAGCAAGGGUUUUUAACCUUUGGAGUGAGGACCAUUUUGCAAAGUGAGGACAUUUAGGCCGGUCCUCACUUUAUUUUCACUGUAAUGGCCUCCAGAGUCUGUUUAUAUGCUUCUCUCAAAGUUUCAGAGAGGUCCUCAAAAAGAUGCCAAAAUCGAAAAUGUGUGUGGAUUUUCGGUGUGUGUACGUACUCUGAAUACACACACUUUUUGCUCUCUAUCGCCCUCUAUUGACAUAACCGAUUUAUUGCACAGGAGCAACUUUAACUAGAGAAAGACAUGUCUCAUGGUUUUUUAGGUAAAAUAAAAUACAUAUUAUGAAAUUUCAUUUUGUUUUAUUUUACUAUCCCUUAGUUUUUAAAUAUUUAACAAGGUUAUAAUGUGUUUAACUCACUUAUAACAUUAAACUACUGUUUAAUAGUAACAUUAAACUGUAGAAGGAUUUUCAGACUGCAUGAGAUCUAUACAACGAAGGUUAAAAUGAAGGGCAACUGGACUUGGUUGAAGCUUCAACCAAGUCUAGUUGCCCUUCAUUUUAACCUUCGUUGGAUAACUAUGACCUGGAUGACUGAGAAUCUUCAUAGACAUCUGCAUGAGAUCUACUUUAAAUAUAAAAUGCUCAAUUUUUAAAUUCCAAAUUGAUUUCCUCUUUGUGUAUUGCCCAUUAGUGAGAAAUGUCUGUUAUAAAGACAUCAUCACUUUUUUGCUGUAAGAUGUUUCUUCCAAUGCAGCAGCUUGUUAUAUAAAUUUCACUUUUUAUUGUAAGCCAGUCAGAUGUGUAUUGAGUUGAAACACAUUUGUGACAUGUCCCUGCUGAGUUGUAAGUUGCAAAAAAUCCUGGUGAUUUUGAUACCCUCAGAGGAUAAUAUUUUUUUGCAUAUUUCUACUCCUAGUAAGUACUUAUUUGUUAUCAAAAUGUAAGUAAUUUGUGUUUUGAGUAAGAUAUAUGUUAUAGAAUAUCAAUUGAAUUAAAAUAUUGUUUCUUUUUAAAUAAAAAUAUGAGUUUAAGCAUGA